rnacentral:rRNA from 1 species
AUGGGCAGACUGCCGGGAUGGAAGGGCAAAAACAUCGCUAGGCCUGGAAGGGUCUCCCUGGCAAAGUCUGUCUUGUGCGCUAUCGCCACACACCACCUCACUGCGUUUCCCCUCCCGGUUUGGGCAAACCACAAGCUCAGCAAGAUUUCACGAAAUUUCAUUUGGAGCGGCGACAACUUUGAUAACGCGUCUGGGGGACACUCCCUGGUCAACUGGAAAACGGUGUGCAGGCCGAAGGCCCUUGGUGGGCUCGGGAUCACGGACCUCGAGAGAUUUGGCAGGGCUCUCCGCCUGCACUGGCCUUGGCUCAUGUGGACCGACCCUAACCGGCAGUGG